UACGGGGGGGGCGAGCGUUGUUCGGAAUUACUGGGCGUAAAGCGUGCGCAGGCGGCUUCGCAAGUCAGACGUGAAAUCCCCGGGCUUAACCUGGGAAUGGCGUUUGAAACUACGGAGCUGGAGUGUGGCAGAGGGAGGUAGAAUUCCACGUGUAGCGGUGAAAUGCGCAGAUAUCAGGAAGAACACCCGUGGCGAAGGCGGUUCUCUGGGACGGUACUGACGCUGAGACGCGAAAGCGUGGGGAGCGAACAGG
rnacentral:rRNA from 1 species